UUGUCCGGACUUAUUGGGCGUAAAGAGCUCGUAGGCGGCUUGUCACGUCGGGUGUGAAAGCCCGGGGCUUAACUCCGGGUCUGCAUUCGAUACGGGCUGGCUAGAGUGUGGUAGGGGAGAUCGGAAUUCCUGGUGUAGCGGUGAAAUGCGCAGAUAUCAGGAGGAACACCGGUGGCGAAGGCGGAUCUCUGGGCCAUUACUGACGCUGAGGAGCGAAAGCGUGGGGAGCGAACAGG
rnacentral:rRNA from 1 species